rnacentral:lncRNA from 1 species
GUUUGAACUUAACACACGGGGAAAAUACGCAUUGACGUCACUACGCUACUUCCGACGUAGAAAAACAGUGCAGAAUACGUUUUUUCUGCACUUUUGAAUAAAAAAACAUUUCUAAAGGUAAGUUUUCAUUGUUGUUCUCAAUUAUUGCUAAAAAAUGCCAAUUUCCUAAUGCCUGUUUCAAUCCCGACUUCCGAAUGUCUAAAAACAUUCUAGAACUUCACAAAAUCCCACUUCCGGCCUCCAUUGCUUUGUGUACAUUCCAUUCAGCGUCAUCAGUCUUGUGGUAG